GUUAAAGUCCAUGGUGGUGGAGCAGUAAGAGUUAAGAGCUCACAUGUUGGUCCUCAAGCAGGAGUCAGAAGGAAUAUCAGAUAUGGCAGGGCCGUGGAGCCUCAAAGCCCACCUCUAUUGACACAUCUCCAACAAGGACACACACACACACACACACACACCAACCACUGUACUUACCAAACAGUCCCAACACACACACACACACACACACACACACACACACACACACACACACCACUGUACUUACCAAACAGUCCCAACACACACACACACACACACACACACACACCACUGUACUUACCAAACAGUCCCAACAACUGGGGCCAUUCUCAUUCAGAGCACCACACUCUGCCUCCUGAAUAUGAGAGAUCUUACAAUAGAGAUCUGCGCAAAAGAAAUGGAUUGCCCUACUCACAGGUGAAUUUGGUGAUAGAGGCAAAAGUUAGGUAAAGAGGCCCAAGGUGAGAAGACUAGAAAAGUCAGAAAUGAAACCUGUCAGAAGAAAACUAGGUGGUGUGUGGAGAAGAGUGGUUGGUUUAAUGAGGGAACAGAAGCAAUGACUGCUUAGCAUUUCAGAGGGUACAAUUGCAAGCAAUAGCGGGAAAUUUCAGGUGAGGAAAUUGACAUUGAUGUGGCCCCUGCUGUGGAAAAAAGGGAUAAGGGGGUGGAUACAGAUGGAGUUCAAGAGUAGAAUGAGGAUGCCUGAAUUUGCGAGAAGUACGGAUAUGGGUGUUU
rnacentral:lncRNA from 1 species